rnacentral:rRNA from 1 species
GACGAACGCUGGUGGCGUGCCUAAUACAUGCAAGUCGAGCGGGACUCUUCGGAGUCUAGCGGCGGACGGGUGAGUAACACGUGGGCAACCUGCCUGUAAGACUGGGAUAACACCGGGAAACCGGUGCUAAUACCGGAUAAUCCUUUCCCUCACAUGAGGGGAAGCUGAAAGACGGUUUCGGCUGUCACUUACAGAUGGGCCCGCGGCGCAUUAGCUUGUUGGUGAGGUAACGGCUCACCAAGGCGACGAUGGGUAGCUGGUCUGAGAGGACGAUCAGCCACACUGGGACUGAGACACGGCCCAGACUCCUACGGGAGGCAGCAGUGGGGAAUCUUGCGCAAUGCGCGAAAGCGUGACGCAGCAACGCCGCGUGGGGGAAGAAGGCCUUCGGGUUGUAAACCCCUUUCAGUUGGGACGAAGCUUCGCCGGUGAAUAGCCGGCUGGAGUGACGGUACCUUCACAAGAAGCCCCGGCUAACUACGUGCCAGCAGCCGCGGUAACAC